rnacentral:misc_RNA from 1 species
GAUGAAGAACGUAGCAAAAUGUGAUAAGUAAUGUGAAUUGCAGAAUUCAGUGAAUCAUCGAAUCUUUGAACGCACAUUGCGCCCGCCAGUAUUCUGGCGGGCAUGCCUGUUCGAGCGUCAUUUCAACCCUCAAGCCCUCGGGUUUGGUGUUGGGGAUCGGCGAGCCUUUCUGGCAAGCCGGCCCCGAAAUCUAGUGGCGGUCUCGCUGCAGCCUCCAUUGCGUAGUAGUAAAACCCUCGCAACUGGAACGCGGCGCGGCCAAGCCGUUAAACCCCCAACUUCUGAAUGUUGACCUCGGAUCAGGUAGGAAUACCCGCUGAACUUAAGCAUAUCAAUAAGCGGAGGA